UGCUCAAUGAUUUUUUAAAUUGCUGUAGUAUUAUAACUAUACGAAGGUAUUGAAAUAAGAUUUUAAAUGAAUGCUAAGAGAAUGGAUUAAUGUAUAAUAAUUGUUUUUUAUUAAAUAUUAAAAUUUAAUUUAAAAAUGAAAAAGUUUUUAUAGUAAAAUGGGACAAGAAGACCCUAUGAAUCUUAAUUAUUAUAUUUUAUUAUAAUAUUAUAAUAAUUUAAUUGGGGCGAUUAAAAAAGAAUAAUUAUCUUUAUUUAGAAUUUAUUCUUUAAAUAAAUGAAAAGAUACUCUAGGGAUAACAGCGUUAUUAUUUUGGAUAGUACAUAUUGAUAAAAUAGUUUGCGACCUCGAUGUUGAAUUAAUGAACUUGCCAGAUGAAGUUAUUUAGUAAAGUAGAUUGUUCCUCUAUUAAAUCAUUACAUGAUCUGAGUUCAGACCGG
rnacentral:rRNA from 1 species